rnacentral:rRNA from 1 species
UACGUAGGGGGCAAGCGUUGUCCGGAAUCAUUGGGCGUAAAGCGCGUGUAGGCGGCCCGGUAAGUCCGCUGUGAAAGUCGGGGGCUCAACCCUCGAAUGCCGGUGGAUACUGUCGGGCUAGAGUCCGGGAGGGGCGAGUGGAAUUCCUGGUGUAGCGGUGAAAUGCGCAGAUAUCAGGAGGAACACCAAUGGCGAAGGCAGCUCGCUGGAACGGAACUGACGCUGAGGCGCGAAAGCGUGGGGAGCGAACAGG